AACAUACCACUUGUUGCCUCGGCGGAUCAGCCCGCUCCCGGUAAAACGGGACGGCCCGCCAGAGGACCCCUAAACUCUGUUUCUAUAUGUAACUUCUGAGUAAAACCAUAAAUAAAUCAAAACUUUCAACAACGGAUCUCUUGGUUCUGGCAUCGAUGAAGAACGCAGCAAAAUGCGAUAAGUAAUGCGAAUUGCAGAAUUCAGUGAAUCAUCGAAUCUUUGAACGCACAUUGCGCCCGCCAGUAUUCUGGCGGGCAUGCCUGUUCGAGCGUCAUUUCAACCCUCAAGCACAGCUUGGUGUUGGGACUCGCGUUAAUUCGCGUUCCUCAAAUUGAUUGGCGGUCACGUCGAGCUUCCAUAGCGUAGUAGUAAAACCCUCGUUACUGGUAAUCGUCGCGGCCACGCCGUUAAACCCCAACUUCUGAAUGUUGACCUCGGAUCAGGUAGGAAUACCCGCUGAACUUAAGCAUAUCAAUAAGCGGAAGAAAAGAAACCAACAGGGAUUGCCCUAGUAACGGCGAGUGAAGCGGCAACAGCUCAAAUUUGAAAUCUGGCUCUCGGGCCCGAGUUGUAAUUUGUAGAGGAUACUUUUGAUGCGGUGCCUUCCGAGUUCCCUGGAACGGGACGCCAUAGAGGGUGAGAGCCCCGUCUGGUUGGAUGCCAAAUCUCUGUAAAGUUCCUUCAACGAGUCGAGUAGUUUGGGAAUGCUGCUCUAAAUGGGAGGUAUAUGUCUUCUAAAGCUAAAUACCGGCCAGAGACCGAUAGCGCACAAGUAGAGUGAUCGAAAGAUGAAAAGCACUUUGAAAAGAGAGUUAAAAAGUACGUGAAAUUGUUGAAAGGGAAGCGUUUAUGACCAGACUUGGGCUUGGUUAAUCAUCUGGGGUUCUCCCCAGUGCACUUUUCCAGUCCAGGCCAGCAUCAGUUUUCCCCGGGGGAUAAAGACGGCGGGAAUGUGGCUCUCUUCGGGGAGUGUUAUAGCCCACCGUGUAAUACCCUGGGGGGGACUGAGGUUCGCGCAUCUGCAAGGAUGCUGGCGUAAUGGUCAUCAACGACC
rnacentral:rRNA from 1 species